rnacentral:rRNA from 1 species
CGAGAGGACUGGGAAGCUUGCUUCCUAUGAAAUCGAGUGGCAAACGGGUGAGUAACGCGUAAACAACCUGCCCUUCGGAUGGGGAUAACAGCCGGAAACGGCUGCUAAUACCGAAUACGAUCUUUUCGUCGCAUGACGGAAAGAAGAAAGGAUGGCCUCUAUACAAAGCUAUCGCCGAAGGAGGGGUUUGCGUCUGAUUAGCUGGUUGGAGGGGUAACGGCCCAACAAGGCGAUGAUCAGUAGCCGGUCUGAGAGGAUGAACGGCCACAUUGGGACUGAGACACGGCCCAGACUCCUACGGGAGGCAGCAGUGGGGAAUCUUCCGCAAUGGACGAAAGUCUGACGGAGCAACGCCGCGUGAGUGAAGAAGGUCUUCGGAUUGUAAAGCUCUGUUAUACGGGACGAAAAAGACGGAUGCCAACAGUAUCCGUCCGUGACGGUACCGUAAGAGAAAGCCACGGCUAACUACGUGCCAGCAGCCGCGGUAAUACGUAGGUGGCAAGCGUUGUCCGGAAUUAUUGGGCGUAAAGGGCGCGCAGGCGGUUCGGUAAGUCUGUCCUAAAAGUGCGGGGCUUAACCCCGUGAGGGGACGGACACUGUCGAACUUGAGUGUCGGAGAGGAAAGCGGAAUUCCUAGUGUAGCGGUGAAAUGCGUAGAUAUUAGGAGGAACACCG